UACAGAGGUCCCAAGCGUUGUUCGGAAUCAUUGGGCGUAAAGGGUGCGUAGGUGGCUCCGUAAGUCGGGUGUGAAAUUUCGGAGCUUAACUCCGAAACUGCAUUCGAUACUGCGGUGCUUGAGGACUGGAGAGGAGACUGGAAUUCAUGGUGUAGCAGUGAAAUGCGUAGAGAUCAUGAGGAAGACCAGUGGCGAAGGCGGGUCUCUGGACAGUUCCUGACACUGAGGCACGAAGGCCAGGGGAGCAAACGGG
rnacentral:rRNA from 1 species